rnacentral:rRNA from 1 species
AGUGAACGCUGGCGGUAGGCCUAACACAUGCAAGUCGAACGGCAGCACAGUAAGAGCUUGCUCUUACGGGUGGCGAGUGGCGGACGGGUGAGGAAUACAUCGGAAUCUACUUUUUCGUGGGGGAUAACGUAGGGAAACUUACGCUAAUACCGCAUACGACCUACGGGUGAAAGCAGGGGAUCUUCGGACCUUGCGCGAUUGAAUGAGCCGAUGUCGGAUUAGCUAGUUGGCGGGGUAAAGGCCCACCAAGGCGACGAUCCGUAGCUGGUCUGAGAGGAUGAUCAGCCACAAUGGAACUGAGACACGGUCCAGACUCCUACGGGAGGCAGCAGUGGGGAAUAUUGGACAAUGGGCGCAAGCCUGAUCCAGCCAUACCGCGUGGGUGAAGAAGGCAUUCGGGUUGUACAGCCCUUUUGUUGGGAAAGAAAAGCAGCAGGUUAAUACCCCGCUGUUCUGACGGUACCCAAAGAAUAAGCACCGGCUAACUUAGUG